rnacentral:rRNA from 1 species
ACCAUGCAUGUCUAAGUAUAAGCAAUUAUACAGCGAAACUGCGAAUGNCUCAUUAUAUAAGUUAUCGUUUAUUUGAUAGUNCCUUNCUACUUGGAUNACCGUGGUAAUUCUAGAGCUAAUACAUGCUAAAAAUCCCGACUUCGGAAGGGAUGUAUUUAUUAGAUUAAAAACCAAUGCCCUCUGGGCUCUCUGGUGAUUCAUGAUACUUCUCGAAUCGCAUGGCCUUGCGCCGGCGAUGGUUCAUUCAAAUUUCUUCCCUAUCAACUUUCGAUGUUUGGGUAGUGGCCAAACAUGGUUGCAACGGGUAACGGAGGGUUAGGGCUCGACCCCGGAGAAGGAGCCUGAGAAACGGCUACUACAUCCAAGGAAGGCAGCAGGCGCGCAAAUUACCCAAUCCCGACACGGGGAGGUAGUGACAAUAAAUACUGAUACAGGGCUCUUUUGGGUCUUGUAAUUGGAAUGAGUACAAUUUAAAUCCCUUAACGAGGAACAAUUGGAGGGCAAGUCUGGUGCCAGCAGCC